rnacentral:lncRNA from 1 species
CCAAGACUCUGACUCUGGGAGAUGGCCUCCUCCCCCAGUCUGGCUUCAGGGAGAGAGGGUGGGACGCUGAGGGCAGUAGACCUGACAGAUGGUAUGCCGUGUUCACAGAUGACACAGAAAGCAGAAUUAUUCAGCUGCUUGUCCCUGCCCUUUCCGCACGAGAAGGGGUGGCCUUCACAAUGAACUCAACAAGGUGGAGGGCUGCUGAGGAGCGGGAAAGAGAAGCCACAGGACACCAAGGACAGGACAAGAAUGGACCGCCACCACCCUUCUCCCGUGCACCUUGCCAACUUCAGGGCCCUCUGCGGCAGAUCUGGAACCUGGAGGGACAAGGUGGCCGGCCAGGCGCAGAGGCACUAAGUCCUGCUCGCCCCUGCCCCCUGGUGGCUGAACAUGGCCUUACAGAAACAGGAUGCUUACUGGAGGCAGGGGUUGUCGAUCUACUCUGGUCCAAAGAAGAGAAAUAAAAAGCAAAUGUCCUUACGUUAGGUACGUGUCCCCGAAGCAUCUCAGCCCAGGCUGAAGUUUCCUUGUCCACUUGUAUACACUCAAUCCUCUUCAGACCUAGGAGAAAUGGGCAGGGAGUUCCUGUCUGCUGGAUGGGUAACACCAUUGGACAAAGGUGGCCCAUGUCCAAGGUGAGAAAAAGAACCAAGGACACGAUUAAUGAUAGCUAGCAUGAAGAGAGAAGAGCAAAGAGUUGUAGUUUUCUGUGUUUCUUUCUUUCUUUUUGUUUUUUGUUUUUUUGAGACAGAGUUUCUCUGUGUAGCCCCGGCUAUCCUGAAACUCACUCUGUUGACCAGGCUGGCCCUGAACUCAAAGAGAUCCACCUGCUGGGAUUUAAGGCAUAUGCCACAUAGUUUUCAAUGAACAUGCAGACAGUGUGGUUUAGCUGGACCGAGUGUGUUCAGCAUGUAUGAGGCUCUGUGUUUAACCUCCAACACCAGAAAUGGAAAAAUAUAAACAAAUAAGAACCGGAUGAACUAGAUAAUACAAAGGAAUGAAGGAAUGAGAGGUUGUCGAACAGGGGAGAGGAGAAAGAUGUAAGAGAAUCGUUCUGAAUCUUUUCUCUUUUUAACCAUUAGCCACCAACUCGUUACCCAAAUUCAAACACAAACCAUGAAGCCGACCUUUCACCCCCACCUGCCAGUCCUGUUUAAUGAGCACUGUCCUGGGCAGGAGCCUGUGUUAGAAGCACUGGAGGGAGAAAAUUGAAAUCCUGUUGUGCAGGCUGUGCCCCAUCUACCCCGAAGAAUCCCUGGGCUGGGUCCUGG